UGUGUUUCUAUCAAUGAUUCCUUUCCUUAGUACCGUGAAUUACAUUUUUGUUGGGAAAUGACAUUAAACAAAAAGGGCGGAGGAAAUAAAUCUAAGGUUAUAGCUUGAACAGAACAUUAAUGAAACAUGUUAUGUGCAAGGGGAAAAAUAGCAGACCAUAAUAUAAGAAAACAAACAAUAGACGAAAAUGCUAUUGCAUCAAUAAACAUGCUCUAAUAAAUGGAUAAGAGAAGACUUCGAUAGCAAUUAGACAAAACAAAUAGGAGAAGAGGAUUCCAGCCAAAGAUUCGUGAUACUCACCGGACUUUUCCAGUUUCUAUCAUUAAAAAAAAAAAAAAAACACCUAAAUUGAUGCUGAAUUAGGAGUAAUUUUCUCUGGCAAAAUCGACAAAAUAUGAAGCAAGAAUCAGUGAGAUAAUAGAAACUAGAGAACUAUCCAGAAGCUGAGAGUAAUAGAGCAGUUAAGAAGGCUGACGAUACACAUAGAAGAUAAGACAUGAAAGGGAAAGUAUUGAGUAUAAGCGAUUACACCUCAUGUACUUUUCAGACUUGGAAGAUGCCUCCUCCUUUAAUUAUUUUCAUGUUCUAAUCCUGUCUCAAAAUAAAAGUUUGGGAUUUGAAUUUCUCAGAUUUUCAUCAAGUUCUAUAUGUUGCAUGUGUUAGCUAGGCCUCGAGAGUAAACAUUGGAAUGAGUAGAUUUUUGCUCUAAUUCUGUAUAGUAUUUCGCUAGGGCUCGAGAGUAAACAUUGGAAUGAGUAGAUUUUUUGCUCUAAUUCUGUAUAGUAUUUCAUAUUGCUGAUUUUUGCUAAUCUUUGGCUAGAAAAUGAGACUGUUAGAUUGGCAGUAAACUCUUUCAACCCCAAUCCUGUUUUAGAAAAUGAUGCAGUUAGAUCCCCUCCUGAAAAAUAGUUUUCAUCAGUUGGAGUGGCCUUAUGGAGCAAUUCUAACAUUUGAGUAAACGUUGGAAUGAGUAGAUUUUUGCUCUAAUUAUGUAUAGUAUUUCAUACUGCUCGAGAAUGUUUGUUGUUUGUUCAAACUGCUUUUUGGUUUCUGCUUGAUUUUAAAAGGCCUCUCUAAGUUUUUCUCUGUUGGCAGGAAAUCAACUAAAACGUCAUUUUAGUCAUUUGAUUUUUAUUUUGUUUUUAAAUUUUGUAUUAAUCUAAAUCAAUAUCCUAACAGGUUACGGUGCUCAAAUCUGAAACUGCUUACAAUUUAGAAUGGUAGCUUUUUGAUGGGUUUGACAAUGAUUAGGCAAUAAAAUUUCAACACAGUUUGGAACUUUGCAUUGAAAAUUGUGGAGUUGCAGUCCUACUCUUUCAUUAAGACCAAGAUGGAGGGAGAGAAAGUGCAACAGAAAACCGCAUGAAAAUUGAAGAAGCUCUUAUGUGGAAGAUGGCUGUCAUGGACUAUGUCUUGAAUUCAAUAUCUCUCCAGUCCAAAUAAGAACAAAUAGUCAAGACAGUGCCUGCUUGCUAUGUGGUACUACUACUUAAAUAAAAGAAGCACCUGUUCUUUGAAUGUGUAUUCUCACAAGCCUGUUUCAUUAUUGCUCUAGCCAGACUACAGAUUAAUAUAAAGAGGCAGGAUCUAUUGGGAAUGUGGACCAAGGUGGCAAGGAGGGAAAUAGGAAGAUAAGCAAAGCAUUCAGGAAGAUAAGCAAGGCAUUCAUCUGGGUUAUCGUUGCUGCAAUUAUAUAUCAUAUUUGGAUGGCAAGGAAUGACUCCAGGUGCCUCAUCCACUUUCAAUUAGUAAGGAAGUGCUACAGGAGUGCAAAUACAGAUUUUUUGACAUGAUGAAGUGGCAACAUGCAUACAAAGAUAGAAGAUGGAUAGAAUAGAUACUGUUGGGGUCAACUGUAUAGAAAGGGCUAGGUUGUUAAUUAUAAUAGCAAUAGAUAGAGAGUUUGUUAGUUGGUCGAUGUUUUUUGUGUUUUUUUGAUAGCUGUAGUUUCAAGUUGUAAGGAGGACCUUUUUAAUUGGUGUUUCAAUAAUACGUGGUUCGUUCGCUAAAUGGAAUGGAUCCAUUUCAACUUCUGACUGUUUGUAUCAAGUACUAUAUAUGGUUAUUAUAUUUGAAUUUGGUUCAAAAUUUAUUCCA